rnacentral:rRNA from 1 species
UACGGAGGGAGCUAGCGUUGUUCGGAAUUACUGGGCGUAAAGCGCGCGUAGGCGGCUUUGUAAGUUAGAGGUGAAAGCCCGGGGCUCAACCCCGGAAUUGCCUUUAAGACUGCAUCGCUUGAAUCCGGGAGAGGUGAGUGGAAUUCCGAGUGUAGAGGUGAAAUUCGUAGAUAUUCGGAAGAACACCAGUGGCGAAGGCGGCUCACUGGACCGGCAUUGACGCUGAGGUGCGAAAGCGUUGGGGAGCAAACAGG